rnacentral:rRNA from 1 species
CGCAACCCUUGUCCUUAGGUUACCAGCACGUUAUGUGGGCACUCUAAGGAGACUGCCGGUGACAACCGGAGGAAGGUGGGGAUGACGUCAAGUCAUCAUGGCCCUUACGGCCUGGGCUACACACGUGCUACAAUGGUCGGUACAAAGGGUUGCCAAGCCGCGAGGUGGAGCUAAUCCCAUAAAACCGAUCGUAGUCCGGAUCGCAGUCUGCAACUCGACUGCGUGAAGUCGGAAUCGCUAGUAAUCGUGAAUCAGAAUGUCACGGUGAAUACGUUCCCGGGCCUU